AUUUAAGAUAACAUUUGUUACUGGAAAUGACCAAGCAUCAGAAGGCCUGGUUGCAUAAGUUAAUUUAGCCAAACAUUGGACUACUGUGUAGUUAUGAUAAAGAUGAAGUAAAUGUACGUAUACAGAUACAGAAAGAGCUGUAAAAUGUAUUAUUAGAUGAAAAAAGAUGUAACAUGUACACUGUAAUCCCAUUUUAAAAAAUAAAAUUAAGAGAUGUAUAUGUGCUAUUAUAUGCAUCAAUGUUUUUCUAGAAGGAUACACAAGCAUAUUAACAUGUUUUUCUCUUUUUCUUGUUUGAAAUUUUAAUAUACAUCUAAUACUUUCAUUAAAAUACAGAAACAGAGUUAUAUUUGUAUGUAACAAAAGAUUGGGAGAUCUUUUAAAUUUCAGAUCUAUAUUUUGUCCUUGGAAACAUUAGAAAGGGCAACAAGAUUCUAUUUUUAUUAGACUUAGGAAACAGUUAUUUAACACAAGAUUACUUUUUCCUAGGAUUUCCAUUUAAACAGGGUUAAUUUGGAAGAAUCUUCAGGAGUGGAAAACUCUCCAGCUGGUGCUAGACCAAAGAGAAAAAACAAGAAGUCUUAUGAUUUAACUCCGGUUGAUAAAUUUUGGCAAAAACAUAAAGGAAGUCCAUUCCCAGAAGUUGCAGAAUCAGUUCAGCAAGAACUAGAAUCUUACAGAGCACAGGAAGAUGAGGUCAAACGACUUAAAAGCAUUAUGGGACUAGAAGGGGAAGAUGAAGGAGCCAUAAGUAUGCUUUCUGACAAUACCGCUAAGCUAACAUCAGCUGU
rnacentral:sRNA from 1 species